UCAAAAACAAAACAUUAACCAUGAAAUUCAAAGCCUAGUAGAUUGGUGAACCAAAACUCAACUCAAAACAAAGUGAGUUGAAAUUAUACCUUUGUAGAUUCCUCUUUGCAUAAGCAAAGGCUAAUCACCCAAAAGAGAGGGCCUUCAUUCCUUGCAUCUUAAAUCUAUGGAUUUGGAUGGAAUGAAUAGGUUUCUCCAAGUUCCCAAAAUUGAGAACCUCUAAGUCUCUUCACCAAGGUUGAGAUUGGAGAAGAAAUGAGUGACCUUGGAGUAGUGGGAU
rnacentral:lncRNA from 1 species